rnacentral:rRNA from 1 species
AUUGAACGCUGGCGGCAGGCCUAACACAUGCAAGUCGAGCGAGUGGCGGACGGGUGAGUAAUGUCUGGGACACUUCCUGAUGGAGGGGGACAACUACUGGAAACGAUAGCUAAUUCCGUAUACCAUCGCCUGGGCCCAGAUGGGAUUAGCUAGUAGGUGGGGUAAAGGCUCACCUCGGUGAGGAUCCCUAGCUGGUCUGAGAGGAUGAUCAGCCACACUGGAACUGAGACACGGUCCAGACUCCUACGGGAGGCAGCAGUGGGGAAUAUUGGACAAUGGGCGAAAGCCUGAUGCAGCCAUGCCGCGUGUAUGAAGAAGGCCUUCGGGUUGUAAAGUACUUUCAGCGGGGAGGCGUUACCCGCAGAAGAAGCACCGGCUAACUCCGUGCCAGCAGCCGCGGUAAUAC